UGACCUCUGCUGGCCAGCGAGGGGAAUGACUGGGACCGAGUCGGUGACACUGUAAUUCUGGAGAAUUAUUUUUGAAACAUCCUGCAUUAUUCUGAGUAAUCAACUUUGUUUACAUCAAUACAAUAUAAGAUUCAAGUCAAAUCAGCUACCCCUGCUCAUUCAACACCAUACAGGUGUCACGUCAUUUAAAUCAUUAAACAAACGACUUCAUGAGUGCUGUUGUUAUUUUUUAUAUUGAAAAGCACAGGACAUAAUUAUAAUUCACUUUAAUAAAAACACUAAUUGUUCCUCUCUCUUGUAAAGGUGCAGCUUCAGAGACCUGUAAAUCCCCUCCUGUUGAUUACACAAACACCAGCCGUGAACUAAAG